GAUAGGACCUGGCAAAUCCUGUAGUCCCAGCUACUCAGCAGGCUGAGGAAGGAGGAUCACCUGAACCUGGGAGUUCUGGGCUGCGGUGUGCUACGCCAACUGGGUGUCCCCACUAGGUUCGGCAUCAAUACGGUGACAUCGGGGAGCAGGGGACCACCAUGUUGCCUAAGGAGGGGUGAACCAGCUUAGGUGGGAAACAGGGCAGGUCAAAACUCUGGUGCUGAUCAGUAGUGGGAUCACGCCUGUGAGUGGCCACUGCACUCCAGCCUGGGCAACAUAAUGAGACCCCCCAUCU
ensembl:misc_RNA Metazoa_SRP Metazoan signal recognition particle RNA